rnacentral:rRNA from 1 species
UGCGGAAGGAUCAUUACCGAGUGAGGGCCCUCUGGGUCCAACCUCCCACCCGUGUUUAUCGUACCUUGUUGCUUCGGCGGGCCCGCCUCACGGCCGCCGGGGGGCAUCCGCCCCCGGGCCCGCGCCCGCCGAAGACACACAAACGAACUCUUGUCUGAAGAUUGCAGUCUGAGUACUUGACUAAAUCAGUUAAAACUUUCAACAACGGAUCUCUUGGUUCCGGCAUCGAUGAAGAACGCAGCGAAAUGCGAUAAGUAAUGUGAAUUGCAGAAUUCAGUGAAUCAUCGAGUCUUUGAACGCACAUUGCGCCCCCUGGUAUUCCGGGGGGCAUGCCUGUCCGAGCGUCAUUGCUGCCCUCAAGCACGGCUUGUGUGUUGGGCUCUCGCCCCCCGCUUCCGGGGGGCGGGCCCGAAAGGCAGCGGCGGCACCGCGUCCGGUCCUCGAGCGUAUGGGGCUUCGUCACCCGCUCUGUAGGCCCGGCCGGCGCCCGCCGGCGAACACCAUCAAUCUUAACCAGGUUGACCUCGGAUCAGGUAGGGAUACCCGCUGAACUUAAGCAUAUCA